rnacentral:rRNA from 1 species
UACGUAGGGACCAAGCGUUGUUCGGAUUUACUGGGCGUAAAGGGCGUGUAGGCGGCGCGGUAAGUCACUUGUGAAAUCUCUGAGCUUAACUCAGAACGGCCAAGUGAUACUGCAGUGCUAGAGUGUGGAAGGGGCAAUCGGAAUUCUUGGUGUAGCGGUGAAAUGCGUAGAUAUCAAGAGGAACACCUGAGGUGAAGACGGGUUGCUGGGCCAACACUGACGCUGAGGCGCGAAAGCCAGGGGAGCGAACAGG